UCCCUCUUAGCUCAGUGGUAGAGCGCGUCACUAGUAAGGCUUGCCUUAUGACGAGGUCAGUCGUUCAAGUCGGCUAGAGGGAA